ACAAUAACUUGGAUCCAAGUGCAUAUCAGAUUUCAGGCUCAGGGAAAAAAAAAAAAAAAACUAGUAUAGCUGUCGGGACAAAGGGUCCCUGGCCUCAUACUCCUGCCCUGGGGCUUUAAGUAGAGCUGCCUGCUGUGGGAGGUCAAGAGGAAGUACACAAAGUACAGAGGCUUGCUGAGAACAGCCUGACCUCUCAGAGGCCCACGCUUCCUGGCAGAGCCAACUGUAAGUUCCGCAUUCCCAUGCCCUGAAACAGUAUAAGUAGCUGGGACAAGAGAAAAAUAAAGGCUUGCUUGCUUGCUCCAUGAACUGAGUCUGCUGUUCUGUUAAUCAAUCCCAACACCCUUCUCCCAUCUUGCCGUCACCGUUGCACUGGAUGCGACAAGUGGAGGUCCCACUGAGACCGGGAACGAGGGGAAUCCAUGGCCACAUAAAAACAGACAACGGCCCAGCCUAUGCCAGCCAACAUUUCCAAGCCUUUUGUAAAGACCAUGCCAUGUGCCAUACCACUGGCAUUCCCUAUAAUCCAACUGUCAAGCUAUCAUUGAAUGCACGCAUGCUGUACUCAAACAAGAUCUGUCAAAAAUAAAAAGGGGGGAGUUCCUCUCCUCCACAGUGUCCUUACUAAAUAAGGUCUUAUUCAUUAGAAAUUUUUUAACAAUUGAUGGUCAGGGCCGGUCCGCCAUGGAAAGGCACUGGCGUCCCCAAAGAGACAAUUUAGGAGAAGUAAUGUGGAAGGAUCUACUAACCGGGAUGUGGAAGGGACCGACCCCUCUCCUGGCAAGAGUGAGGGGAGCUGUUUGUGUUUUCCCCCCAGGAAGUGAAAAACCCAUCUGUGUGCCUGACCACUGUGUGAGACCAGUUAACACCAGGAAGGAUAAUGAGGAAGGGACCGGGAACAUGAACAUGGCUGCUAACCCUGUUGACAACAACAAUGACGGCGGGAGAGACGGUGUGGAGUCUGGUAAAGAACCCCCCCAUGCUGAUUCCUGUGAGUCAAGCUAGCACACUAUACCCAUCAGUGUACAGCUCCAACUUCACGGUGGGUACAGCCUCCCAGAAUACUCCCACUAAAACCCAUUCGGUGAACAAUACAUUUUGGUUAUGGGACAGCCUGUGCUUCAUUCGCACCACCAACACAUCAUGGCUUGACGGUAAUAGUUCCUUCCUGGGACCAUGUCUUGCCCUGUCCAAUUAUUCAUUGGGCGACUUCUCCAACAAUGGAAGCGGCGGCCCGGUUCAAGGGUUGAAUAACAUUUGGUUCCCAAUCAACCGUGCCUCUAGGCAGAAUCGGUCCACCUACCAUACCGGACCAUGGCCGGGCCCCCCGCUGUUGGCCCUAUUCCCCUAGAUUUGAAGUAAGGGAAAUCAUGCAAUGGGGAGGCUGCGUUACCCAGGAGGGAUAUCUAUUCAAGGGAGGUACCGUAGACCUACUGUGGUAUGGCCCCCGGGUGAUUGCAAAAAAUUCCACAUUUGGAGGGUACCCAUACACCUUCAGGAAUCCCAUCAAUGCACAAGUGCCUACAUUUGCUGGGAUGUUUCUCUGCGGGCCCUAUGCCUGCAUGGACAAGGUACCAAUGCUUUUACAGUGGGAGUCAGUAUUCAAUGGCACAGCUACGUGAAAUGAGACCGAAGGGUUUGAAAAGACAUUAAAUAUAACACAUAAGACACAAGUGCCCAUAAAGAACAGGGCCUGUCUCUUGAGCCCUUUCUUUUUCAUACUGUGGAACCAUACGGGUGACUUGGGGGGGGAUGCUUAAUUGCUCUUCCAGCUCUUGUCUCCUUAGCAAUUGCUGGAGAGAAGAAGAAGACUCUGCAAUCACAGUGCGGAUCCCAGCUUUCCUGCCCAUUCCACUGACGGUCAUUAAGAACAGAGAAGAAUUGGUGCUCUACUGGCAGAAAAGGGACUUUGGAGUCACGGCAGUGGUGGUGGCCAUCAUUGCAGCCUGUGCCACAGCAGCCAUGGUGGCCGGACUCACCCUAUCUCAAUCGGCUGCUGCAGCCAGCACCAUUGAUCAGCUGGCUGAGUGAGUCAGCGAGGGCUUGCAAAAGCAGAACACUCUUAAUGCUCAGAUACACAUGGGCAUUCUGAACUUAAACCAACAGACUGCCCUGCUCCAAGAGCAGGUAGAUGCAUUGUGGAAAAUGCAUGACGCCACAUGCUCACAUUUUUUCCGUGCCACCUGUGUCACCCCCCUACAGGUGCAAAAUGCCUCCGAACAGCUCCGGGUGCUGAAUACUUAUCUUAGGGGUCCAUGGAAUAUGACAUUUGUAAAUUUCACCAAUCAACUUGCUAAUCAGAUUGUGAGAAUUAAUGAGACCAGAGUACCCCCCAUAAGUGGGGAAAUAUGGUGGAAUAAUAUGGCUCUGCUGGGAGGUUGGGUACAACGAUGGGCAGACUCCCUGGCCCUGGCAAUCAUAGGAACAGGAGUUACUGUUACAUCCUGUUGGGGACUCAAAAGGUUGUAUCGUUCCCAGAGGCAUCACCAGAGGGCCACCACGCAGGUAAUGCUCAGCCUUGCCCGCCAUCCUAGAGGAGAAGUUCCUCAGGUAUGGCUAAAUAUGCUGCAGGAACGCUGAGGGUGCUCCCAAAAUGGGCAACUUCCUGGUCAGGACGGACCACCUAAGACAGGGUUAGAAGCCUCCCAAAGACGGGUAAGGAUCUGUCCAACCGGGACGACCUAAGACAGGAGCUCCCUUUGGCAUAAUUUUAAGAGAGGGGGGAGAUGUCGGGACAAAGGGUCCCUGGCCUCACACUCCCGCCCUGGGGCUUUAGGUAGAGCUGCCUGCUGUGGGAGGCCAAGAGGAAGUACACAAAGUACAGAGGCUUGCUGAGAACAGCCUUACCUCUUGGAGGCCCAUGCUUCCUGGCAGAGCCAACUGCAAGUUCCGCAUUCCCAUGCCCUGAAACAGUAUAAGUAGCUGGGACAAGAGAAAAAUAAAGGCUUGCUUGCUUGCUCCAUGAA